rnacentral:rRNA from 1 species
ACGCUCGACACCUAUGGGAGGCUGCAGGUGGGGGAUAUUGCACAAUGGGGGAAACCCUGAUGCAGCAACGCCGCGUGAAGGAAGAAGGUCUUCGGAUUGUAAACUUCUGUCCUCAGGGAAGAUAAUGACGGUACCUGAGGAGGAAGCUCCGGCUAACUACGUGUCAGCAGCCGCGGUAAUCUGAGCGGGCUGGCAAGGC